AAGAAAAAGAGUCGGCAACGUAUAUACUUCCGCUUAACACACGUAUAUACCAUCUGCCAACUAUCCACGCCUAUCAUUUCCCUCUCGCCCCUACCAGAUCUCCACCAUUCUCAAAUUUGCAAUUCUUCAAAAAUUCACAAUAUAGAAACAAAUCCCAAAUCAUCUCUCAAAAUUAUUUCACAGAAGCACAAAUUUCCUGCUCAGUCCUAGCUCUCUCUUUCUCACAAAAACAGAAACAACCAAAAGACUCCCAUCUCUCGUUCCAAAAUCGGCGCCGCAGGUAGCCUUCGCCGCAGCUGCUGUCACGGCCUCUCCAUCGCCGAGAGGCUUCUUACGACCGAUAGGGAUUUUAUGAAUUGGGGAUUUGAAGAAAACAAGGCUACUAAAGCAUUAAUGGUUCAAGCUUUAUCAAGAAUGCUUCCUUCAACAGUUUAUGAAAUUCAAUUCCGUGAACUACAGUGAGUGUAUGAAUGCAGAGGGUUCAGAGAUUUAUGGAUAUACCUUUGGGAAGAAGAGAAUAAUAAGAAGAAUUAAAUCCA